AUAUAUUGUGCAGACACACACUUCUUCCAUUUGAGUGACAAGCUGGGUGAUAAAUAGCGUGUAUUAAAUCCACAGUGGUCAUGAAGAAUCAAUCCAUCUCCUCUGGGAAAUUAGCUGUGUCAAGGAAGUCAGCACCAGGGGAAAGGCGAGCAGCAGGCAUGCAGGGGAUGGACUGGGGCUCCUGCUGCAUCCAUCCGUGGAGAAGCUGGGUCAUGGCCAGGAGAGGAGCUGCCAGAACAAAAGUGAGAGCUGGUUCCUAUGCUGCUAGCUGCGGAGCUUUGUAAUGGAAGCUGCAGAAAUGCAUAAAUAUGAGGAUGUUCCAAAAGUAAGGCCUCCUGUUUCAUUCUGUUGGCCCACAGGGUCAGAGGUGGAUGUUGGUGGGAUGGCAGUAGAGGUUGAAUGGCACCCACUGACAUUCAUUGAUGCUUGCUGAAUGUUUAUGGAAACAAAGCAGUGGAUGUGAGUACAGUGAGGCAGUGGAUGCUGCACUUCAGCAGUGGCAAUGAUGACAGGGGGUCACAUCCACUGGAUCAAAUUGUUAUGCACAUGACAUGCAGCUCUUGUUCAUCACUGGCAAAAACACAAAGCUAAUGGUGGUGACUAUGUUGAAAAAACAUAGCUAAGAAAAUUCACUAUCAAACAGUGUUAUAGUUUCCGUGGACAGAAAUAGGAGGCAUUACUUUUGGAGCAACCUACAUACUUGAUCACUGGUGGGACUGCUGGUUCUAUCCCAUCUAUUGCAAAGCUGGGCAGCCUAAUGGGAUAUAUCUCACCUCACCUGAGUGGUGGAAGCUAUUUGCUGGUUGAGGCAUCAAAUGUAGGAGUCUCCAUUUGAUUUGUGUGAUCAGAUAUGGCUCAGUACAUUUGUUGGAUCCAGAUGAGAAAUUCCUUUGACGGUAAAUGAUUCUGCUUUACUGGGAGCUGCACUGUUCUCCAGGUUCCUUCGGAUCUUUUCUCAGCAAGCUCCGAACUUUCAUAUAAAACACUAUGAAAAUGCACAAACUGUCUUCCAAGUCUUGGUUCUGCCAUGUAAAUCACUGUUUCAUCAUUUCAGAUUUCCCCUUCUCCUUGCUUAUUCCCCAUAUUUCUAGCAUGCAGUGAUGAGAACCACAUGGAAACCAAAAUUAGGUCAGUGGGACAAAUUAAUUCUCUCUGUCCUUUGUGCUAAGACUUUAUGACAAGUGGCUAAUCAUCUUUGAUUCCACUGGCACUCCUGGUAAUAACAUUAGCCACGAUCAACUCAUUUAGCUCAUCUGAGGAUUUAAUAUCUAAUUCAACUGCACAUGAAAAAAGGCACCUAUGUUCAGGGAGCAGUAACCCUUUUUUA
rnacentral:lncRNA from 1 species